UGGUAGUACUAAUAACGAAAACCAAUGUUCUUUGGCGGCCUUAUUUUUCAUCAGAGGAACUCGUAUCUUAAUCCGAUGGUCCCCGUUAAAUUUUUCUACGAUUAAGUAUUUAUAUCGCCGUCCUUCAAUAAAGCUAUCAUUCUUCAUUGACAAAUUCCUUUAUUCUACGUCAGGUCGAGAUAAAGCUCAUAUCACAGGGAGCCGAGUUACUUAUUUUCUUAAAAAAUCUUUUAUUAUUAAAUAAUCAAUAAAAUACAGGAUUUGAAAGUAAUUCAUAGGUAAUUUCUAUGAAUGAAAGCUUAAAAAGGUGU
rnacentral:rRNA from 1 species